CCCAAAUCCAUCAAAGAUCUUCACAGCAACUCUUCUUCUUCUUCCUCCACUACGCCACGACCCAAGUCCUUCUCAGUUCUAACAAUGGAGAAAGUGGGUUCGAAAGUUAAAAUUUCCUGAUUUAUUAUUAGCUCCAGGGUUCAUACAGCAGAGAUGCUUAAUCUGUUGUCGAUGUUACUGAUACCAUGAGCCUUCCAAAAAAGCUCGCGCACUCGACGACUCCGAGGAUCUUUUAAGUUGACACUGGACGACAUCGUUUUAAGCUGCCUGUCUUCUUAUUCAGAACUACUCAUUAGCUUCCACUCUUCCGUAACUCACCUCUAUACUUCCAAGUCCUUCUCAGUUCUAACAAUGGAGAAAGUGGGUUCGAAAGUUACAAUUUACUCUGGUCGUGGAAAACCUGAAACCUCUUAUUAUUAGCUCCAGUAAGUACCCUCACCACUUAAAGCUACUGUUACAUUUGUUAUUUGCAUGUAUGUACAUCUUGACAUCUUGUGAGAACUUUCAGGAGUAUUUACAAGGCAUUAAAUUACUUAAGACCAUAUGGGUCAUUUCAUUUGUUUGUAAAAUUUGUUGUGUUGAUUUUGAUUUGAGCAUGUAUUAGAGAGAGAGAGAACUGAUCAGCAAUAUCGUUUUUUAAUGUCCUGACAAUGGAAGAUACCUCAAUAGGUAAGCAAUUCAACUGUAAUGUGGUUCAGCAUCAUAGAUCCAAUAUGUGAUAUCUGAAAAUGCUGUUUUUUUUCGUACCAUAGUUCUGUAUCAACCUGUCAAAUCUGUGGGUAUUUUUUUUAGUUGGUAGUUAUAAUCAGCAUUUUAUAGUCAAAUUGCUUCUUUGCCAAAAUUUGAGUAUCUGUAAUUGCAAUAAACAAUUCAAACAUUUCCCUUUCAAAAUUCUUUGACUGGGGCAUAAUUUAUUGGCUACCAACAGGCUUCACAUAUUAAUAACAAGUCUUAAGAUUGUUAAAUAAUGGGGAAACCAGUGUCAAUCUUUUUUUUUUUUUUUGGGCAUGUAACACAGUGAUAGCUAUAUGUUGUUGUAGUUAUUAUUUUUGAUGAAGAAUUCAACAAAUUUUUAUCCAAAAUUUGGCUUGAAAAUUCAUAUUCUAGUGUUAUGCUUUACCUUUGGCCAUAUAUGCCACCACAUAUUUUGCAUUGGUUAUAUCUCAUUUGUCAGUUCUGGCUUUCCUUUUGCCCUUGAAGGACCCUGAACAGAAUCUCUCUUUCAUGUUGUAUUCAUGGGUUCUCAGGACAUCUCAGCUAUUUCUCCUGAGCUUGCCCCCUUUAUUUUUAUUGCCCAUCAUCUUGACCCUGUUCAUGUUCACCUACUGUAAAGGGGGUAUAGAAGGGGGGUGGUUUCGCUGUUGGGGUUUGUGGGGGAGGGGUAUAGGCCCCUUUAAUUUGCCAGAUUGAU